UACGUAGGGGGCGAGCGUUGUCCGGAGUUACUGGGCGUAAAGCGCACGCAGGCGGUUUCGUACGUCUGGAGUGACAGUUCCCGGCUCAACUGGGAAAGGUCUUCGGAAACGGCGAGACUUGAGGGCUUCAGAGGGACACGGAAUUCCGGGUGGAGUGGUGAAAUGCGUAGAGAUCCGGAGGAACACCAAUGGCGAAGGCAGUGUCCUGGGAAGCAUCUGACGCUCAGGUGCGAAAGCUAGGAGAGCGAACAGG
rnacentral:rRNA from 1 species